UACAGAGGUCUCAAGCGUUGUUCGGAUUCAUUGGGCGUAAAGGGUGUGUAGGUGGCGCGCUAAGUCGGGUGUGAAAUUUCGGAGCUUAACUCCGAAACUGCAUUCGAUACUGGCGUGCUUGAGGACUGGAGAGGAGACUGGAAUUCAUGGUGUAGCAGUGAAAUGCGUAGAUAUCGUAAGGAAGACCAGUGGCGAAGGCGGGUCUCGUGGACAGUUCCUGACGCUGAGGCACGAAGGCCAGGGGAGCAAACGGGG
rnacentral:rRNA from 1 species